AGAGUUUGAUCCUGGCUCAGGACGAACGCUGGCGGCGCGCCUAACACAUGCAAGUCGAACGAGCGAGAGAGAGCUUGCUUUCUCAAGCGAGUGGCGAACGGGUGAGUAACGCGUGAGGAACCUGCCUCAAAGAGGGGGACAACAGUUGGAAACGACUGCUAAUACCGCAUAAGCCCACGACCCGGCAUCGGGAAGAGGGAAAAGGAGCAAUCCGCUUUGAGAUGGCCUCGCGUCCGAUUAGCUAGUUGGUGAGGUAACGGCCCACCAAGGCGAUGAUCGGUAGCCGGACUGAGAGGUUGAACGGCCACAUUGGGACUGAGACACGGCCCAGACUCCUACGGGAGGCAGCC
rnacentral:rRNA from 1 species